AUGGGGAAGUUGUAUUCCGAGAAAGAUGCUAUCAAGGCAGUAGUGAGCGUGCAAUUCGCAGUUGCCGCUGGGAGGACAGAUUCUGGUACUAGGCCAUUGACAAGUUUUAGUGACAACUUGAAUCACGGACUUCAUUACAGUCAGAUUCCACUUGCAUCACCCUUAAAAAUUGUCAUGGAGUCAAUUUUUACUUUUGCUUGA